rnacentral:lncRNA from 1 species
UCAACCAAACAAAUCGCGGAAUUUAGAAGAAAUAGAUUGGAGACUGAGGUCUUUGUUGGACAUAUAGUUUUCUCAAGACAGAUUUGCGCCCUCCGUGCUCAAAGGAGAAACCUAGAAAUUGUGCUAACGAGUCAGGUCCAAAAAAUAUUGGACUUGGAUGAUAGAAUCUCGUGUACAAGGUGCAAUGUUAAGAACUUAAUGCAAAAAACAUUUCAUUUGAUCCAGAAAGUGCCUCGACCCUUCACUCUCUGAUGUUUUCGAGUAGCUCUUCCCUCGUCCGAUUACCAACACCUAAACAAGAAAUUCCAAUAAAAUUUGGUACAAAAAUUAUGAAAAAUCAAAAUUGAAAAGAAGUAAACGACGUUGUUAGUUAAUUACCAUGUUAUUGUGGUUAUGGAAUCAAUACGCAUACUUGCUGCAACAUGAUCACAUGAUUCUCCCCUAUGCAUCUUGCUAGGACUGCAUUCACCUAGAGAAAAAAAGAAAAGGAAAGAGAAAGGCUUGAGAAUUUGUUAAAAAGAAAAAAAAGGAAGCGUCCGCAGAGUGUUAAGUUGCUGUUUCUCCUAGAAGUAAAAGUCGCGUUUAAUAUGAGAAUAUUGUCACGGAGUGCCGGAUGGCGUGGAACCGGAUGCAAAGGGCAAGGCGCAGGAUUGCAUCAAUAAGGCUGCGGAGGUUU